ensembl:lncRNA
GUGGGAAAGAGCCUGGAUGUUUACAGGGAUCCAGAUGGCGCCUAGCUUUAAUAUUUUGCGACGCCCCCCCCCAAAAAAAAAAUCCCUUGCAAAAAAAAAGUAGCUUAAAGAAAAGCCUGCACAGGGGAUCUCAGGAUCUGAGAGGAUCUCCCGAGCAUAGGAGCAAGCCAGGGAGCUAUGGGGCAGCAACGCUACCUGCUGCACCACUGUCCCCGAAAAAAUGCAGAGGAAAAGUGUCGUCAAUCCCCCUACCUGCAUAUUUUGGGGAGAUGGUGUGUGAGCGUGUGUGUGAUUGUGCCCUGCGAUGGAUUGGCACCCUGUCCAGGGUGUACCCCGCCUUGUGCCCGAUGCUCCAUGGGAUAGGCUCCAGGUUUCCCCGUGACCCUGAGAAGGAUAAGCGGUAUAGAAGAUGGAUGGAUGGAUGGAUGUUUCUCACAGAAGUGAGCCAUCUUGUGGCCAAGUCAAAUAGGAAGACUGAAAAUACACAUCCAUUUCCCUAUAAAAGUUUUUUUUUCUCAGUCAUUCAGUUAAU